UACAGAGGGUGCAAGCGUUAAUCGGAAUUACUGGGCGUAAAGCGUGCGUAGACGGUUACAUAAGUCGGGUGUGAAAGCCCCGGGCUCAACCUGGGAAUUGCAUUCGAGACUGCGUAGCUAGGGUGCGGAAGAGGGAAGCGGAAUUUCCGGUGUAGCGGUGAAAUGCGUAGAUAUCGGGAAGAACAUCGGUGGCGAAAGCGCUCUACUGGACGGUGACUGACACUCAGGGACGAAAGCUAGGGGAGCGAAUGGG
rnacentral:rRNA from 1 species